GUUGUCCAGGAAAAGAAUAUAAGUUCAACUUUAAAAAUACCUAAAAAAUUGCUAAUUUUACUGUAUUUUUAAAAGCUAGUCUAAAAGGGUACAGCUUUUUAGAUUAAGGAUACAACCUUGCUUAGAGAGUAAAAACAAUCAAUACCAUAGUAGGCUUAAAAGCAGCCAUCAAUUAAGAAAGCGUUCAAGCUCAACAUUAGACAAACCUUAAUCCCAAUAGUUAAUAAGGAACUCCUAAUCCAAUACUGGACUAAUCUAUUAAUUUAUAGAAGCAAUAAUGUUAAUAUGAGUAACAAGAAAUAUUUUCUCCUUGCAUGAGCUUAUGUCAGCAACGAAUACUCUACUGACAGUUAACACCUAAUAAACUUAACCCACCAAUAAAUGAUUUAUUAAAUCUACUGUUAACCCAACACAGGAAUGCAUUAAGGAAAGAUUAAAAGAAGCAAAAGGAACUCGGCAAACACGAGCCCCGCCUGUUUACCAAAAACAUCACCUCUAGCAUUACUAGUAUUAGAGGCACUGCCUGCCCAGUGACAUUAGUUAAACGGCCGCGGUAUCCUG
rnacentral:rRNA from 1 species